CUCAUGAUACAGUGGAAAUAACCCUGAACCUGAAAUCACAGCACCCAAGUUCAAAUUGUGUGUGACAUUGGGCAAGUGUACUUAAGCAUCCAUGCCUUAGCUGAUUCUCUGUUAAAAGAAGGCAAAGUUUAACUAAAUGACCCCUGAGGACUCUUCCAACUCUCCAGUUGGUAUCUUUUGAUAGAAAGUAAUUUAAAACUGAUUAUCUUUCCUACCUCUCCACUUUUCCUUUUUUCCUGGUAUAUGGAUUCGAAUUUUGACAGUAAAACCCACUAGCUGGGAAAGUCCCUAUAUUUCUCAGUACCUGGGGAAGGGGGAGAUGAAUAAUCCUUCCCCUAUCUGCCUCACAGAGUUGUGAGCAAAGAAAGCACUUUGUAAACUUGAAAGCUCUUUUGGAAUGAGUUCUCAUUAUUAUUCCUGGGCCCAGUUCACCCAGCAAUGGGGCAUCGGGUUACAGAUCUCAAGGCUUUCUUUGCAGAGGGAAGACUAGCAAUUUUUUUUUUUGCCCUUUUCCUUAAUAUAUGCUAAUCAAAGCUGAGAGUCUGCAGAAAAUAUCUGUUUGCAAAAAGCCCCACUGCUGUUGCCUUGGCUUCCCUCUCUCUCCCAUUUCUUCUCACGUCUGCCUCUGGGUGACUAUUAAUCCAGCAAUUGGAGCUUGGGGGGAGGUAGGUAUGGGGGAAGGGAGAGGGUAAUUCUGGGUCUGUAUGCACAGAAAGUGUCAGGAUGGAAACAGUUGAAAAACACUUGGCAAAAAUAAGGGGUGAUCUAAUGUUUAAUAGUAAUAAUACAUUUUUUAAAUUGCCAUUAUUAUUCAAAUUUGGGUUUAAAAAAAAAGUUCUGCUCUCAAGACCUCCCUCUCCCAAGUGGUCUGCCAUGGCUGAUGUAUUCUGUUCACCUCCCUGUCUUAGAACCCCCACUGAGAGAGCAGAAUGCUCAGCUGGGCUGUCAUGUGUUUUGUAUGCUGCUGGAUGUGUGUGAUUGAGCCUACUGAGUCCAUAAUUUACUGAUUUGCUAGGGUCCUGGUAAGCCUCUUUUAGGAGCAAAAUACCUCCCCAUUAACCCUGUAGACACUGGCAAGUAAAUCCAUAUUUGUAGUCAGUUAAAAAACAUGCUUCUUAGCUACUCAAAAAUAACAGUGGAAUAACAGUCCAAGGACCUGUGUUCAAAUUCUGCCUCAGCCGUUUCCCUUCUUCUGUGACCUUGUAAAUAAUUUUCUUUUUUUUAAACCUUUCUUUAUUGUCAUCUGUAAAAUGAAGGGAUUGGAUUAAAUGGAUCUCUAAGGUCCCUACUAGCCCUAAAACUAAUGAUUAAAUGAAUAUUCAUAUGGCACUUUUAAGAUUUACAAAACUAUUUUCUAUGUUAUCUUAUUUGGUCCCUGCAACAAUCCCCAAAAGGCAAGUAUUACAGACAUUGUUCUCAAUUAUAUUGUGUUCAAAUUCUGACUUCCCUCAUUUUACAGAUGAGAAUACUGUUCAGAAAGAUGGUCAUUUGUCCAUGACGACAUACCUCAUAUAUGUUGGAAAUAGGAUCUGAGCCCUGUUCCUCCACUGACUCUAAAAAUCAAGGCUCUUCCCACUAUACCAAAUACGACGGGGGGGAGGGGCAAUCAACUCUAAAGCAUAAAUAUCACCAUCAAUCAAUCAUCAAGCAUUUAUUAAAUGUCUGUAGUGUGCCAGACAUUGUCAAGAUAAAAUAAACAUUCCCUAAUCUGACGGGGCUUACAUGUUGUACCAUGUACAUUUAUUUUACAUAUCUAUGGAUAUGAACAUUUAUAUAAAAUGAAUGUAAGAUAAAUCGUAGUCGUUUAAGAAGGAGGACCACCCUGACAAUUGGGGAGAAUUGGGAAAGGCUCCUAAGAGAAGUUAGUAUCUUGAAAGAAGAGAGAGAUUCUGUGAGACAGAGGUAAAGAUAGAGUAUAUUUUAAUAUAGGGAAUGGGAAGUUCAAAGAUAACCAGGCAGAAUUAUCAUCCCAUCCAUUCCUAACUCUGAAUGAUUGUCACCCAAAGGGCUUAAGUUUGGCAUUGAACAAAUUAGGGAGGGAAGUUGGGAAUGAAAGGAGCUGGCAGAGAAGUAAUUAAUAUACUGUUUUCUAAUUAAUAGGAAAAGACUUUACCAAACGCUGUGAGUGAGGAAAACACUUCAGAUCUCUGACGCACUGGUGUCCCCAGAGUCAAAUCGUAGAAGAUUCCCAGGAUGUAAGCAAUACAGCACCAG